rnacentral:piRNA from 1 species
UGAUAUGCACAUAAAAGACAGGACUUUGGUC